GUGGUUUGUGAUAUCCCUGAGGUCUAAGCCAUAGGAGCCUGUGGACAGCCGAGAAGGAGUCCCCACCGCUAGUUGCUCCUGGUCUUUCCUGCACUAAGGUCCCCUCCUGGAUCAGCCUCACUCCUGAAGCCCCAGGCAGAACGGCUCCCUCCUUAGCAAUCACAGGUAUGGAGCUGACUGCAGAGCAAAGCACGGCAGGGGACUCAGCCCUGGAGUCAGGCUCCCAGCUGCUGCCGGGGUUCCUGUCCUGACUCAACUGCUUACCCGCUGUGUGGAGCUCCUGCCAGUUGAGGUUUCCAGGAAUACACACACACUCUCCUAUGCAGGAGAGAUUCAUCUCAGGCUACUUGAAGCAGAGGCCACAUGGAUCCAAUGCUCUCUGCCACUCAGCUCCUCUAGGAGAACCCGCCAGGCCCCGGGGGGCUGCCGAGCUUCGUUCUUAUUCAUCAUUGCUGGGAACUGCACCUUUCCUCCAGGCUGUGUGGGGAUGUGCAUCACCAUGGAAACGCUAGAGGUGAAAUCACUCAAUUGCUGUCCUUACCCGAAGGGGAAAGACUGUGGGAGGAGCCUGUUGGCUGCUGAUUCACCAGGAGCUGCAAAAGGAUGGGCAUUUGGCCUCCUGAGAGCCUGGGCAUGACCCACAGGGACCUCAUUACCUGUGAACAGAGGGCUGUCCUGCAGCAAGUCAGCUGGUGCAUGAACAAGUCCACUUAGAGCAUCGUGUUUGUGGACACCCAGGCAUAGACAAAUCAUGUGUUUGGGCUGAAAGAGAUCAGGUUAUGGAAGACUGAUAUCAAGAAACCCUGUCUCCAAAAGUAAAGUAAUUGAUCAUGUUCAGGUGCCUGUGGCCAUGUCGUCUCUCUGCCGCCAAGCUGCACUGGAGGUGUCUCACGAGCUCGCUGACCUCCUGCUGUCAGCCUUCCUCCUCAAGCUCAAGGUGUGAACCUGCUUUCUGCCCCAGGAUCUUCUCUGAUGGCCACCCUGAAGCUCAACCUGGAGUGGGACAAGUUAACUCCUGCUGGGGGCAACCCUCUAACUCUGAACCUAUUGGUGAUGGGAGCUGGGAGAAAGCCACCCACCCUGGUGUUCUUCAGGGGAAUAAUUCUAGAAGGGUAUUCUACACACUUCCCAGAGGGUCAUGGCAGCACGGAGCUACCAACCUGCAGGAACUUCCAUCACAUCACCCACUUUUAUUGACUCCUCCCCCAACCGUGUCUGAGAUCUGUCCAUCCUCCAUCCUGCUGCCUGGGAUCACCUCACAAAUAAACUGCUUACACCCAGGUCCUUAUCUCAGGGUCAGCUGUUGGAGGAACCUGAACACACACCUCCACUGCUUGUGUGUGUGUUAGUCAUUCAGGCAUGUCUGACUCUUUGGGACCCCAUGGAAUGUAGCCCAUCAGGCUCCUCUGUCCAUGGAAUUCUCCAGGCAAGAAUCCUGGAGUGGGCUGCCAUUCCCUUCUCCAGGGGAUCUCCUGACCCAGGGAUCAAACCCGGUCUCCUGCAUGGCAGGCAGAUUCUUUACCACUGAGCAACCAUGGAAGCACUGCCCCCCCCCGCCCCCCUGCCACCACCCCUGCCCGCUCCCUCCGCCCCCCCCCCCCCCGCCAUUCAAGUGUAAGAUCAAUGUGAAGACACGCUCAGCCUUGAAAAGACUGUUUUUUCACACAUGGCAGGUGGGUCAUCUUCUUUCUCCAUACCCACAGGUUCACCAAGCCUUCUUUCUACAUACAGGCACCACUUUGGAGAAGAGACGCAGAAGAAAUGUUAAAGUGAAGCAUGUACUUCCCCAAAGAGACAUGUGCAAGGUAGCAUAG
rnacentral:lncRNA from 1 species